rnacentral:misc_RNA from 1 species
CCUUAAUAUAGGUAAGAAAUUUCCGUUGAAUCAAAUGGGAUUUGGUUCUAGGAAUUAGUUGUCUUCAGUCCUCGUCGAGUCCCAAUGACAUAGGAAGAUUACAUACAGUUAAAUAUAAGAUCCCAUUAGAUUCCAAGUGUUUGGUCAGCUUUCACAGCUACAAGUUAAACACAUCUUAACACAAACUACAUAUCAAGUGUUAUCCAAGUCCACAUCGGUUAGACCAAAAACUAGAACCACCAUUGGAAUUAUGCAUUAGUAUCUCUGCCCAACAGGCAUUCCUAGUCUGUCCAAGCGACCGGAUCCCGGAUAAGCUUUGCUAGUAAAGCUUGCACGCAAGGCGGAAGCCCUCUGUGCACUGCUCGAUCUUGGCUCACCAAAGCCAUGAAUUGUGUACCUUUUUGUUGAAGUUGAUCUCUCAUAUUGAGGCCUUUGCUUUGGAGCACUAAGAGAUCUUACUUUAGCCCUUGAUGAUUCAGUGUAAGACAUGUAAUUUGGGUAGUAGUCCGAGUAGCCGCUUAGAAAGCUUGCUGAGCCAUCGCUCUUACUGGGAGUGAAGGGACUUCUUCUACCACCACCCCCUCUUGAUGAUGUGGAGUAGAACUGUGGGCUAUUUUGAGCAGUGCGAAAAGCUUCCUCAUCCGCACGUGGAAAUUUCAAAGGACUUAAAGACUGGACUUCACCAGAUGAUGGACUUGGAACUGCUUGAUGGUUUGUGGAGUCCUUCGAAGUUGUGAAGCUACGACUAUAUUGAUCUGAUGCCACGGCAAGAUAAGAGGAGUGGAAAAGGUUUCUGUGUUUAGGAGUGAAGUAGGUUUUUCCUGUAUCAACUUCAAGGAUCUUGUCACUCUUCUCAUCAUCUAUAGUGCUUGUUCUUGUCAAAGGAACUCUUUGCUCCCAUGAUCUUUCAUCCAUCCGACGUCCUGACCAAUUAAAGGAUAAGUGUGGUUUGUCUUCAUCAAUAAUUGCCCUGCCAUUAGAUUUUGAUCCAGUCCUCUGCAUUUUUGAAAGAGGUGCAUCAGGCAUGAAUUAUCACAUUUAAAUUCUCUAAAUAGCCAGUCAAAGAAAACCAAGGAUACCUUGAGAAUUGAUGACUGCUCAUAUUUUCCACUCCUAGCUCGUAUUGCAUGUUCAAAUUUUUCAGGGGUGGGCGGACCCUGCAAAUGGUUUAUAGUUUAAACAUGAUCACUAACACGUAUUAACUGAAGUUGCUCAACCAUGGAUCCAAUUUAUCUUCAAGAAAAGAAUUCCAAAGUAAAUGCAACUCUCAACUCAAAAUUGAUUAAAUUACAUCAAAGCAACCAAUUGUCCCCUUUAGAAAACAUAUAUGAUGACGUCCAUCUAGUUCUUUUAAUGCACAGUAGAGCUAUAAUUGAAGUUCCAGUUUAAUGAAUAACAACAUACUGGCAAAUUGAUGUGUAAGAACUACUAUCUGUGUUCAAAACCAAUGAAUUAAUGCACGUAUUCAGAAGCUGUCUAGAGCAAAAUAAAAGAGGAGGUUAUCUCGAGCACUAAGGAAAAGGAGCCCACAAUGCACCACCCAUAAAGUACUUGUUCGCUUCUCAAAAUGUUCCCAGAAAAAAGAAUUUAAAUAUUGGAGGGAAAAUUAAAUUUUACUUACAGCAGGGUGGUGGGAGUGAGAAGACUUGCAACUUGAAUGUGAAGAUUCAGAGACCUGUAUCCGUCCUGCACGUGCUCGUGCCUGGGCUCUCAGUAAUGCUUGCAUACGAUGAAGCCAUGCAGCAGUUCGCUUCCUCUCAAUGUGACCUCUUACCAAUGCCUGAAGCCUUACUAAUGCUUUCAAUGCUCGCAAUGCCCUUCUUGCCAAGUAGCCACGGAAUGCCGCUUGUAUCUUAACGGCAGCCCAAUCCUCACGCCACGCAUGGCUCCCACUAACGUACGUUACUGGUGGAUUGUUAGCGCACCUUCCGCUACUUGUCAAUCUCACAACCUCUGCAGCCGCAUGAGCCGCUGCCACGGCAGCUUCCGCAACUGCAGCCGUGGCAGCUGCUACUGCGAUCGCGUGCCUGUUAGGUUCCUCCUCGUACUCCGACGAACUCUGAACUGUUACGGAACCCUCCUGGCCAUCCAAAACUCCGUGCUGCUGGUGAUCUUUCUCGCUGUAUGAUUUCACAAAGCUCCAUCUCCGUUUCUCCUUCAAACGACCCGUGGUUUGCUGCUGCCGUUCUGACGAAGGCGUGACGGGUUUUUUAAGCCCGAGAACGGCCCGGAACCACUUGGAGGCUUUACCCAUUUGGCUUGGGUCAGCAAUAGUGAAACUGCAGGGGCUUGGAGGCGUUUGAGAUAGGAUGCAUUCGCACAGAGGAGAGAGGGAUAAAAGAGUGACAGGAAUAAGGGAACGUGAAGGUGCGUAGUGGGAACCGUGAGUCGGUGAGUGAGAAAAGAGCGUUCUGC